CGUGUAGGCAGCUUAUUAAGUCAGAUGUGAAAGCCCACGGCUUAACCGUGGAACUGCAUUUGAUACUGAUAGACUUGAGUGUGAGAAGGGGUAGUGGAAUUCCCAGUGUAGCGGUGAAAUGCGUAGAUAUUGGGAAGAACACCAGUAGCGAAGGCGACUACCUGGCUCAUUACUGACGCUAAUGCGCGAAAGCGCGGGGAGCAAACA
rnacentral:rRNA from 1 species